CCUACGGGAGGCAGCAGUGAGGAAUAUUGGUCAAUGGGCGGAAGCCUGAACCAGCCAAGUCGCGUGAGGGAUUAAGGCCCUGCGGGUCGUACACCUCUUUUGCCGGGGAGCAGAGGUCCGGACGUGUCCGGGCCGGGAGAGUACCCGGAGAAAAAGCAUCGGCUAACUCCGUGCCAGCAGCCGCGGUAAUACGGAAGGUCCGGGCGUUAUCCGGAUUUAUUGGGUUUAAAUGGUGCGUAGGCGGACUGUUAAGUCAGCGGUAAAAGCCCGGGGCUCAACCCCGGCGAGCCGUUGAAACUGGCUGUCUUGAGAGGUCGAGAGGUAUGCGGAAUGCGCAGUGUAGCGGUGAAAUGCUUAGAUAUUGCGCAGAACUCCGAUUGCGAAGGCAGCAUACCGGCGGCGAUCUGACGCUGAGGCACGAAAGCGUGGGUAUCGAACAGGAUUAGAUACCCGAGUAGUC
rnacentral:rRNA from 1 species